ACGAACGCUGGCGGCGUGCUUAACACAUGCAAGUCGAACGGAAAGGCCCUGCUUUUGUGGGGUGCUCGAGUGGCGAACGGGUGAGUAACACGUGAGUAACCUGCCCUUGACUUUGGGAUAACUUCAGGAAACUGGGGCUAAUACCGGAUAGGAGCUCCUGCUGCAUGGUGGGGGUUGGAAAGUUUCGGCGGUUGGGGAUGGACUCGCGGCUUAUCAGCUUGUGGGUGGGGUGGUGGCUUACCAAGGCUUUGACGGGUAGCCGGCCUGAGAGGGUGACCGGCCACAUUGGGACUGAGAUACGGCCCAGACUCCUACGGGAGGCAGCAGUGGGGAAUAUUGCACAAUGGGCGGAAGCCUGAUGCAGCAACGCCGCGUGCGGGAUGACGGCCUUCGGGUUGUAAACCGCUUUCGCCUGUGACGAAGCGUGAGUGACGGUAAUGGGUAAAGAAGCACCGGCUAACUACGUG
rnacentral:rRNA from 1 species